CUGAUGCUUUUCUUUGUAUCUUUUCCUGCUUUCAUCCACUGAUGGCGUCGAGCAUCGCCGAGGAUGUGAUCGAAUGCGGAAUAUUCUAAACGAGGAGCUUCAUUCCGGAUUUUGUUUGCAAUAAGCGCUGAACUCAUCCUCCAGCUUACAACGAACGGUCAACGGAUGAGGAAGGAGAGGAGGGACGGCAAAGGUACACGCACAAACGUGCACACAUCAGCCUUGUCGGAGAACGAGAACACGGGAGGGGGAGGCUGGCAACGUAUAGAACGUCUUCAUUUACGCUCCCUCGUGCGUUCGUGCGUGCGUGCGCGCGCACGUCUAUGUGUGUAUGUGUGUGCAUGCCUGCGUGGCUGUGUGUGUUUUGCGGCUUCGCGUUAACGAGAUCCUACGGGAUCACCCUGCGAAAAACACCAAGAGAGGGGGAGGGGUAGGUGUCUGUGUCUGUGUGUGUAUGUGUGCGUGCGUGGUUGUGUGUGUGUGUUUUUUGCUGUUUCGCGAUCUCCUACGGAAUCACCUUGCGAAAACACGAGGGGGGAGGAGUGGGGUGUGUGUUUGUGUGCUUGCCUGCGUGCGUGCGUGGUUUUGUGUGUGUGUUUUUGCGUUCGCGUUCUCCUACGAUCACAUUGCGAAAAACACCAUGGGGAGGAGCAGGUGUGUGUGUGUUUUCUUUUCUUUGUCGUUUCGCACUCUCCCGCAGGUGCAUAAAAAGAAAGUAAGAAAUAAAAAAAAUUGAACAACGGA